rnacentral:rRNA from 1 species
GACGAACGCUGGCGGCGUGCUUAACACAUGCAAGUCGAACGAAGAGCGACGGAAGCUUGCUUCUAUCAAUCUUAGUGGCGAACGGGUGAGUAACGCGUAAUCAACCUGCCCUUCAGAGGGGGACAACAGUUGGAAACGACUGCUAAUACCGCAUACGAUCUAACCUCGGCAUCGAGGAUAGAUGAAAGGUGGCCUCUACAUGUAAGCUAUCACUGAAGGAGGGGAUUGCGUCUGAUUAGCUAGUUGGAGAGGUAACGGCCCACCAAGGCGAUGAUCAGUAGCCGGUCUGAGAGGAUGAACGGCCACAUUGGGACUGAGACACGGCCCAGACUCCUACGGGAGGCAGCAGUGGGGAAUCUUCCGCAAUGGACGAAAGUCUGACGGAGCAACGCCGCGUGAGUGAUGACGGCCUUCGGGUUGUAAAGCUCUGUUAAUCGGGACGAAAGGCCUUCUUGCGAAUAGUGAGAAGGAUUGACGGUACCGGAAUAGAAAGCCACGGCUAACUACGUG